GUUAAAAUAUUCAAAAUGGCGGACGGAGGAGCAGCGAGUCAAGAUGAGAGUUCAGCCGCGGCGGCAGCAGCAGCAGAUUCAAGAAUGAACAAUCCGUCAGAAACCAAUAAAUCAUCUAUGGAGAGUGGAGAUGGCAGCACUGGCACUCAGACAAAUGGCCUGGACUUCCAGAAACAGCCUGUUCCUGUUGGAGGAGCAAUCUCAACAGCCCAGGCCCAGGCUUUCCUUGGACAUCUUCACCAGGUUCAGCUUGCUGGGACAAGUUUACAGGCUGCUGCUCAAUCUUUAAACGUUCAGUCUAAAUCUAGUGAAGAAUCGGGGGAUUCCCAGCAGCCAAACCAGCCCUCCCAGCAGCCUUCAGUGCAGUCAGCCAUUCCCCAGACCCAGCUAAUGCUGGCUGGGGGACAGAUAACUGGGCUGACUUUGACACCAGCCCAGCAGCAGUUAUUACUGCAGCAGGCCCAGGCCCAGGCCCAGCUCCUGGCUGCUGCAGUCCAGCAGCAUUCCGCCAGCCAACAGCACAGCGCUGCUGGGGCCACCAUCUCAGCCUCUGCUGCCACACCCAUGACGCAGAUUCCCCUGUCUCAACCCAUACAGAUUGCACAGGAUCUUCAACAAUUGCAACAGCUUCAACAGCAAAAUCUCAACUUGCAGCAGUUUGUGUUGGUGCAUCCAACCACCAACUUGCAACCAGCACAGUUUAUCAUCUCACAGACCCCCCAGGGCCAGCAGGGUCUCCUGCAAGCGCAAAAUCUUUUAACGCAACUACCUCAGCAAAGCCAAGCCAACCUCCUACAACCACAGCCAAGCAUCACCCUCACCUCCCAGCCAGCCACCCCAACUCGCACAAUAGCCGCAACCCCAAUUCAGACACUUCCACAGAGCCAGACAACACCAAAGCGAAUUGAUACUCCCAGCUUGGAGGAGCCCAGUGACCUUGAGGAGCUUGAGCAAUUUGCCAAGACCUUCAAACAAAGACGAAUCAAACUUGGAUUCACUCAGGGUGAUGUUGGGCUCGCUAUGGGGAAAUUAUAUGGAAAUGACUUCAGCCAAACCACCAUCUCUCGCUUUGAAGCCUUGAACCUCAGCUUUAAGAACAUGUGCAAGUUAAAGCCACUUUUAGAGAAGUGGCUAAAUGAUGCAGAGAACCUCUCAUCUGAUUCUACAGCAUCUAGCCCAAGUGCCCUGAAUUCUCCAGGGUUGGGGGCUGAGGGCUUGAAUCGUAGGAGGAAAAAACGCACCAGCAUAGAGACCAACAUCCGUGUGGCCUUAGAGAAGAGUUUCAUGGAGAAUCAAAAGCCUACCUCGGAAGAUAUCACCUUGAUUGCUGAACAGCUCAACAUGGAAAAGGAGGUGAUUCGUGUUUGGUUUUGUAACCGCCGCCAGAAGGAAAAAAGAAUCAAUCCACCAAGCAGUGGUGGAACCAGCAGCUCACCUAUCAAAGCAAUUUUCCCCAGCCCAACCUCAUUGGUGGCAACCACUCCAAGCCUUGUGACAAACAGUACAGCAACUACCCUCACAGUCAACCCUGUCCUUCCCUUAACCAGCGCUGCAGUGACUAAUCUCUCUCUUACAGGCACUACAGACACCACAUCCAACAACACAGCCACCGUGAUAUCUACAGCACCCCCUGCUUCCUCAGCAGUCACAUCUCCCUCUUUGAGUCCCUCCCCUUCUGCCUCAGCCUCCACCUCUGAGGCCUCUAGUGCCAGUGAGACCAGCACAACACAGACCACCUCCACGCCUCUUCCCUCUCCUCUCGGGGCCAGCCAGGUGAUGGUGACAGCAUCUGGCUUGCAAACAGCAGCUGCUGCUGCUCUCCAAGGAGCUGCACAGUUGCCAGCAAAUGCCAGUCUUGCUGCCAUGGCUGCUGCUGCAGGACUCAACCCAGGCCUGAUGGCACCCUCACAGUUUGCUGCUGGAGGUGCCUUACUCAGUCUCAAUCCGGGAACUCUGGGCGGGGCUCUGAGCCCAGCCCUGAUGAGCAACAGUACACUGGCUACUAUUCAAGCUCUUGCUUCUAGUGGUUCUCUUCCAAUAACGUCACUGGAUGCUACUGGGAACCUGGUAUUUGCCAAUGCAGGAGGAGCCCCCAACAUCGUGACUGCCCCUCUGUUCCUGAACCCUCAGAACCUCUCUCUGCUCACCAGCAACCCAGUAAGCUUGGUUUCUGCAGCUGCAGCCUCCACAGGGAACUCUGCACCUACAGCCAGCCUUCAUGCCUCCUCCACCUCUGCUGAAUCCAUCCAGAACUCUCUAUUCACAGUAGCCUCUGCCGGUGGGGCUGCUUCCACCACCACCACUGCCUCCAAGGCACAGUGAGCUGGGUGCAGAGCUGGGCUGCCACAGACCUUCGCCAGUGCAGCAUAAUGGGCUGCCAGCUGUCAGGAAACAGACAGGUGUGAUUGGCUUCCUCCCACCAUGUUGUGAAGAUGAGGGAGACAUGGAGAAAAGAAAAAAUACACUUAGCAGGAAAAAAAAGAAUGGAGACAGAACAACAUUUGCCUAAUUUUAUAAAAAAAGAAAAAAGAAAAAAAACAAUGUCUUUUCAGGAUUGCUUCAUGGAUUAGAGAACUUUCUAACCAAAAAAUUAAAAGAAAAAAAAAAACAGAAACAAAAAAUCCAAAACAGACAGACAAAAAUAAAUGAAAGGACUACUUCUCAUUUCCAGCAGUCAUGAUGACAAGCAAAGGGUGUUUCUAGACUACAUAAAUGAGCCCAUUGAAAAGGAAGAGCUUGUGAAAAUGGAUGAAGAUGGAUGAGGGUAAUUUAGAGAUUAAAUUCCCCCUUUUGACAAUGCCCUAUUAUUAUACUAUCUGGACCAGAAUUUUCACAGAUGACUGGGUCAUCGCAGUAAAGUUCAUCUAAGUUGCCCUUACUGGAGUUAAGGUCCCCAUUGGUGUCUGAGGUGCUUGCUUCUGUUUCUGGUGGUCUGCACUGAGCUGAGGUGACUUUCCUUCUGAUAGCUUUGCUUAUGCCCAUAGGAAACUUGGAUUCUGUGCAUUUGUCUCUCUGCACUGUUGCUCAGAAAGGCAGUGACACAGACACAAAUGUGUAUCUUUCUUUGUGAUUCAAUUAGAGAAAGGUCAUAUUAGUAUUAAAGGUCAGAAUCAUUUUGGUUCCCCUUUAAAUUUUUCUUUAGUUCCUUUUAUUUCUUGGAUAUUGAAUUUUUACCCCCGAAUUUCUCUGACCCUUAACUUUUCCUAAACUUCUUUUAAGAAUCAAUGAACUGCAAGCAGGGAAACUAACAAAUGCUCAUCCACCUGUUUUGUAUGGUAUGGGUAGUUUUGUUUUGUUUUGUUUUGUUCUUUAAACUAAGCUUGAACCAAAGUCAAUUUUAGCAAGCUGCUGUACUAAUGGACUAGUUAUAAUGUGCAGUUCAAACACAUUGAGGAGAUAGAUGCUACUGACAAUUUCUUAUUCAUUUUUCUUGAUUAAUUUUAUAUGAAAGUUGCUGCUUGUUUUUAUCUUCUAUGUUGGUAAAUUGUAAUAUCCUCUGGGCAGACAUUACCAUGAUUUUUAGCUAGUUUGUUUAGGUCAGUGUGUAAAUAGAAUGGCUGUGUCAGUUAAUAAUUUCUCUCCUCCCCAUCAGUUCUUUCUUUCCUGUGAGUUUAAUCUUUAUUUUGACUUAACACUCUAACCUUAAUCUGCGCACGUGAUUAUAGGGCUGUCAAUACUAUUUCUCCUCCUAGCAGAGAGACCCUCCCUUGGGAGUGAUGAAGUUAGGAGAAAGAAUUCAGGGAGAAAAAUGCUGAUUGCCCACCAUACCAGGUUAGACGGUAUAGCAUUAAUGCCCAGAAUUGCUACCAAAGUAAGUAUUGUCUCAAAGGACAGAGAAAGGCUGUUUUGUUUAAUCCUAUAUGGUUAAAAGAAUCUUUCAUAAAUAAGAUUCCCCUACAGACUUUGAUUUUUUUUUGUUUGUUUGUUUUUUGUUUUUUUGUUUUUCAA